AUUGAACGCUGGCGGCAUGCCUUACACAUGCAAGUCGAACGGUAACGGGCCUUCGGGUGCCGACGAGUGGCGAACGGGUGAGUAAUGCAUCGGAACGUACCUUUCAGUGGGGGAUAACGUAGCGAAAGUUACGCUAAUACCGCAUAUUCUGUGAGCAGGAAAGCAGGGGAUCGCAAGACCUUGCGCUGAUUGAGCGGCCGAUGUCAGAUUAGCUAGUUGGUGAGGUAAAGGCUCACCAAGGCGACGAUCUGUAGCGGGUCUGAGAGGAUGAUCCGCCACACUGGAACUGAGACACGGUCCAGACUCCUACGGGAGGCAGCAGUGGGGAAUUUUUGGACAAUGGGGGCAACCCUGAUCCAGCCAUGCCGCGUGAGUGAAGAAGGCCU
rnacentral:rRNA from 1 species